UACGAAGGGGGCUAGCGUUGCUCGGAAUCACUGGGCGUAAAGCGCACGUAGGCGGACUCUUAAGUCGGUGGUGAAAUCCUGGAGCUCAACUCCAGAACUGCCUUCGAUACUGGGAGUCUCGAGUUCGGGAGAGGUGAGUGGAACUGCGAGUGUAGAGGUGAAAUUCGUAGAUAUUCGCAAGAACACCAGUGGCGAAGGCGGCUCACUGGCCCGAUACUGACGCUGAGGUGCGAAAGCGUGGGAGCAAACAGG
rnacentral:rRNA from 1 species